rnacentral:miRNA from 1 species
CAGACCAUCCAGGUAUAUUUUAGUUUUUAAAACGCAAUGAAUAAUUUUUAGUAUAAGUAUAGUCUAUGCAAUAUUUGGGACAUACUUAUACUGAAAAUUUAUUCAUUGUUUGUCUGAAAUCCAAAUUUAACUGAGCAUCCUGU